rnacentral:lncRNA from 1 species
GGGGUUUAAUCUUCCUGUGUAGGACAAAUUGUCCUGAAAAGCCUGACAUGGAAGAGUGAUGUUGCUAGUGCUUUUUAAACACCAUCAAGAAGUAGUUUCCUGCACUGUUAGCCCUCCACAGCCAUCAUCACCCUGGCAGACACCUGACCCUGUUUUCCCCAUUUCAAGUCUAGCCUGGGAAGCAUAAUGAGUUCAAAGCCAACUUAGGCUACAUACUAAAGCUCUGUCUCAAGAAGGAGGAGGGAAAGAGGAGGGAGGAGAGGGAAGAGAAGGAAGGGGGGAGGGAAACUGCAUAGCAAGCAAGAUGUGGUUGGUGGUGUGCACCAAUAGUCCCUGCAUUGGAGACACUAAGGUAGGAGAAUUGUGAAUCCGGCUCUGCACUUAAGGCUCGCAAACAAACCAAUAAAUAACUGGGAAAGAAGUUCGACGCUUAACUUUUUAAACAGGUAUCUUCAGAAAAUGAGAUUUCAUUUUUUCAAGACAGGGAUUGCAUGUGUGCAUACAGGAAACAAAAC